AGUCCGGAUGAAUCGUUAGAGGACUCCGAGAUGUGCGCAACAAUCCUAAUCUAAGUCAAAAAGGGUUCUAUUCUACAACCAAAAGUAAAAACUGAAAAAAGACAAAGCAACUCUGUGCUUAAAAGAAACACAAUGGUGCAUGGGCGCCAAACGAGCGGUUAAGGUAACUACAGUAAUAAACAUUAAUUUUUAAAAAUACAGUAAAACGCGGUAUAUGGUGUUUGAUGUCACCGAAAAUUAUCAUAAUGCAUUGGACUUAUUUGAUGGAAUGAGGAUUUACUGUAUCUUACUGAGUGAUAUACAGUAAUUAACUGUAAAUUUUACAGAAAUGUCUAAUAGUGAGUGUGAGUGCGGUUGGCAUGCGUACUGCAAUGAUAUCCUUCUAGACCAGCAGAGGGCAGAUGUCGUCUUCUAUCUCUGAAUGAAGUUUCCACACAAGCAGGAUGAGAUAAGGUUAUAAUCGCACGUUGGUUAUGCUUUUAUGGUUUUUAAAACAGGAGAUCCCUGAAACGUGCGGUUAUAACCUACAGAUUCUUAAAAAAUAUGGAGUAGCCUCUUAAUUUUUGCCACUUCAAUCGUUUGAAAACAGGUAUGCUUCAUUAAGAGAACCAAGAAACUGCCGAGUCAAAAUAUCUGUUACAGGCUAUAAAUAUAUACACAUACAGUACUGUGCAAAAGUCUUAGGCACUCAAAAGAAAUGUUUAACGCUAUGUUUAUCUGGGUAGUAAGUGCCCAUUUUCUUAGAACAAAAAAAAUAUACAAUUUAACAUAAGAACAUAUGAAAAUUACGAGUGGAACAUAUGAAAAUUAGUGGUCAGGUAAAAAAAUACACGGAUGUAUUGUAUGGUUGCUGGAAAUAAUAGGGUUAUUUUAGCAGUGGUUUUGAAAUGGCUAAGCUGACACACUUUGCUAGGUGUAACAGCAUAGUUUUACACCAACAUGACAGGUAUUUAAACAUGGCUGCCUAAGACGUUUGCACAGUACUGUAUAUCUGAAUUAGCCUGUCACAGAUAUUUUGACUCGGCAGUUUCUUAGUUCUCCUGAUAAAGCCUGCCUGUUUUCGAACGACUGAAGUGAUAAAGAAGUCCUCUGGCGAAUAUUAAGGGCCUACUCCAUAUUUUUUUUAAGAAUCUGUGUUGUUAAAACCUGGUUUAAUACUGGUUGUGUUGGCAGAAGGCUACACUGAGCAGCAGGGUGCUUCCAGGCUCAAGCAGAAGCAACUUUCUAAUGCCAGAGAUGAUCGGUGAAGUGUCCCACCUGACCCUCACCCCACCCAUUGUAUUCUUUAAAUGUUGCACACUGCACACUGCAAUUUUGUAUUGUAUUGUAUUGUGUCUUUUUCUGUUCUAUAUGUACAGUGAUGCUACUGUAGCUCUUUUGGAAAUUCCUUUUGGAUAAAUAAUGUUCUACUGCUACUACUUCAUCACUGCAACACCCUAAUUUCUUGCUUUUUCAGUCAUUCUGUUAUAGAUUUGCUGGUGUGCUUUGGUUUAUUGUCGAGUUGCAUGACCCAAUUUCGGCCAACCUCUAGGUGUCGGAAAGUUGACCUGACGUGACACUAAAAUACUUUGGUAUACAGAGGAGGUCAAUGACUGCAAGGUGCCCAGGUCUUCAGGCUGCAAAACAAGCCCAAAUCAUCACCCCCUCCAUCACCGUGCUUGACAGUUGUAUGAGGUGUUUUUGUGGAGUUUUACCCACCCUCAAUAAUUCUUUUAAUUUAUUCAUUUUAAAAAAUGACAGCGACAAUAACUCAGGACACAAGAUCUGAAGUACAACAAAUCUCAGGUUGAGGAGAGAGAUACAUUUAUUACUACUUUACUGGAUCCACCGUUGUACACUGUCUCACACUGAUACCGUCCUUCAUCUCGUUUUGUAAAGUGAGGAAUGUACAGGUAUGUUUCUCCAUUUGUGUUGUUGCGCAGGAUCUUUCCAUCUUUACAUGUAUCAUGUUUAGAAUCGUUAUCACUAUGAGCCAUUUGACACUGCUUUCCGUCAAUGUCUAUCGUCCAGGUAAUGAAGAUAAUCGAAGCCCAUGUCUUAUUGGAGCAGUUCAGAGUAACGCUGCUAUUCAAGUCAAAGUACUCACUUCUGUAUUCUGUAAAUGCUGGGUGAUGACAGAAAGUAGCAGAGAU